ACGCUGGCGGCGUGCCUAAUACAUGCAAGUAGAACGCACAGUUUAUACCGUAGCUUGCUACACCAUAGACUGUGAGUUGCGAACGGGUGAGUAACGCGUAGGUAACCUGCCUAUUAGAGGGGGAUAACUAUUGGAAACGAUAGCUAAUACCGCAUAACAGUAUGUAACACAUGUUAGAUGCUUGAAAGAUGCAAUUGCAUCGCUAGUAGAUGGACCUGCGUUGUAUUAGCUAGUAGGUAGGGUAAAGGCCUACCUAGGCAACGAUACAUAGCCGACCUGAGAGGGUGAUCGGCCACACUGGGACUGAGACACGGCCCAGACUCCUACGGGAGGCAGCAGUAGGGAAUCUUCGGCAAUGGGGGGAACCCUGACCGAGCAACGCCGCGUGAGUGAAGAAGGUUUUCGGAUCGUAAAGCUCUGUUGUUAAGGAAGAACGAGUGUGAGAAUGGAAAGUUCAUACUGUGACGGUACUUAACCAGAAAGGGACGGCUAACUACGUGCCAGCAGCCGCGGUAAUACGUAGGUCCCGAGCGUUGUCCGGAUUUAUUGGGCGUAAAGCGAGCGCAGGCGGUUAGAAAAGUCUGAAGUGAAAGGCAGUGGCUCAACCAUCGUAGGCUUUGGAAACUGUUUAACUUGAGUGCAGAAGGGGAGAGUGGAAUUCCAUGUGUAGCGGUGAAAUGCGUAGAUAUAUGGAGGAACACCGGUGGCGAAAGCGGCUCUCUGGUCUGUAACUGACGCUGAGGCUCGAAAGCGUGGGGAGCGAACAGGAUUAGAUACCCUGGUAGUCCACGCCGUAAACGAUGAGUGCUAGGUGUUAGGUCCUUUCCGGGACUUAGUGCCGCAGCUAACGCAUUAAGCACUCCGCCUGGGGAGUACGACCGCAAGGUUGAAACUCAAAGGAAUU
rnacentral:rRNA from 1 species